rnacentral:snoRNA from 1 species
GUUGAGAUCUCUUCAGCGGGGGCUUUUUCUGUAGCAGUACUUGGUAGAAAAUCCCUCAAAGCAUAACUCUGGUUUUGCUUUACUCACAGGACUGUUUAUUAAAUCUGCAGGAAGGAACUAUUAACACAGAG